CCUGGCUCAGGAUGAACGCUAGCUACAGGCUUAACACAUGCAAGUCGAGGGGCAGCAUGAACUUAGCUUGCUAAGUUUGAUGGCGGCCGGCGCACGGGUGAGUAACACGUAUCCAACCUUCCGUUUACUCAGGGAUAGCCUUUCGAAAGAAAGAUUAAUACCUGAUAGUAUGGUGAGAUUGCAUGAUGGCACCAUUAAAGAUUUAUUGGUAAACGAUGGGGAUGCGUUCCAUUAGGUAGUAGGCGGGGUAACGGCCCACCUAGCCGGCGAUGGAUAGGGGUUCUGAGAGGAAGGUCCCCCACAUUGGAACUGAGACACGGUCCAAACUCCUACGGGAGGCAGCAGUGAGGAAUAUUGGUCAAUGGGCGAGAGCCUGAACCAGCCAAGUAGCGUGAAGGAUGAAGGUCCUACGGAUUGUAAACUUCUUUUAUACGGGAAUAAAGUUUCCUACGUGUAGGAUUUUGUAUGUACCGUAUGAAUAAGCAUCGGCUAACUCCGUGCCAGCAGCCGCGGUAAUACGGAGGAUGCGAGCGUUAUCCGGAUUUAUUGGGUUUAAAGGGAGCGCAGACGGGAGAUUAAGUCAGUUGUGAAAGUUUGCGGCUCAACCGUAAAAUUGCAGUUGAUACUGGUUUCCUUGAGUGCAGUUGAGGCAGGCGGAAUUCGUGGUGUAGCGGUGAAAUGCUUAGAUAUCACGAAGAACCCCGAUUGCGAAGGCAGCUUGCUAAACUGUAACUGACGUUCAUGCUCGAAAGUGUGGGUAUCAAACAGGAUUAGAUACCCUGGUAGUCCACACGGUAAACGAUGGAUACUCGCUGUUGGCGAUAUACUGUCAGCGGCCAAGCGAAAGCAUUAAGUAUCCCACCUGGGGAGUACGCCGGCAACGGUGAAACUCAAAGGAAUUGACGGGGGCCCGCACAAGCGGAGGAACAUGUGGUUUAAUUCGAUGAUACGCGAGGAACCUUACCCGGGCUUAAAUUGCAGACGAAUUACGAGGAAACUUGUAAGCCGCAAGGCGUCUGUGAAGGUGCUGCAUGGUUGUCGUCGGCUCGUGCCGUGAGGUGUCGGCUUAAGUGCCAUAACGAGCGCAACCCUCGUGGUCAGUUACUAACAGGUUAAGCUGAGGACUCUGGCCAGACUGCCAUCGUAAGAUGUGAGGAAGGUGGGGAUGACGUCAAAUCAGCACGGCCCUUACGUC
rnacentral:rRNA from 1 species